ensembl:lncRNA GTF3C2-AS1 GTF3C2 antisense RNA 1
GCUCCACUGGGGCAGAACUUGAGGUCCCAGAUGCAGCCGUUGUCACAAGCAAUCCCAUAGACAAAGUGGGCCCUGUUGCCAGGACUGGAGAGAGAGAGCAUGUGGGGAUGGUGGGUAGGAAGAAGGGACGCAGGGCUGCCAGAGGUAAGCUCCCCUUGUCUCAGCCCAAUCCAAGCCCUUCCCCCUAUCCUGUCCAGACCCCAUCCUGCUGUCCUCAACCACCCUCCCAUGGCAGUGUCCAACCCCACCUCACCAGCUUUCUUGCUGCAAGGUCCCAAGGCCCCAGAGCUGGAGCAGCCCAGGACCCGAAUGAAGCUGGCUCAGUGGGUGUGUCUCAUUCAUGUCAGGGCUGGAGAAAAGAGCCACAUAUUGCGAGGCUCCUGCCCCCUCUGGCACUGGGCACCAGUCCAGAGCCCAGAGCGGUCCCCCCGUGAAGAAGGACACAUCCCAGCGCUCUGGAUGUGCUGUGAUCGAGCUAAAUCUAGAGAAAAAUCAAAGAUGGGAUGAAGAAAGGAAUUAAUGAAAGAAUCAGAAAAAAGGGCGGAUGUGCAAUCUUCACCUGUUUAUUCGGUAGAGGGUGCCAUCUUCAGGUAGCCCUUCACGUUGUACAGAAAACAAUGGAGACUUCUCCUCCUGGGGCAGUGGUGUCACCCUUCCUAAGCUAC